GACGAACGCUGGCGGCGUGCCUAAUACAUGCAAGUCGAACGCACAGUUUAUACCGUAGCUUGCUACACCAUAGACUGUGAGUUGCGAACGGGUGAGUAACGCGUAGGUAACCUGCCUGGUAGCGGGGGAUAACUAUUGGAAACGAUAGCUAAUACCGCAUAAUAUUGAUUAUUGCAUGAUAAUUGAUUGAAAGAUGCUAUUGCAUCACUACCAGAUGGACCUGCGUUGUAUUAGCUAGUAGGUGAGGUAACGGCUCACCUAGGCGACGAUACAUAGCCGACCUGAGAGGGUGAUCGGCCACACUGGGACUGAGACACGGCCCAGACGCCUACGGGAGGCAGCAGGAGGGAAUCUUCGGCAAUGGACGAAAGUCUGACCGAGCAACGCCGCGUGAGUGAAGAAGGUUGUCGGAUCGUAAAGCUCUGUUGUAAGAGAAGAACGGGUGUGAGAGUGGAAAGUUCACACUGUGACGGUAUCUUACCAGAAAGGGACGGCUAACUACGUG
rnacentral:rRNA from 1 species